GACUUACUCCCUCUGUUCGAAAUUACUUGUCAUCAAAAUAGAUGAAAAUGAAUGUAUCUAGAACUAAAAUAUAUCUAGAUACAUCCAUUUUAAUGACAAGUAUUUCCGGACAGAAGGAGUACCAG
rnacentral:pre_miRNA from 1 species